GAUGAAGAACGCAGCGAAAUGCGAUAAGUAGUGUGAAUUGCAGAAUUCAGUGAAUCAUCGAAUCUUUGAACGCACAUUGCGCCCCUUGGUAUCCCAGGGGCAUGCCUGUUCGAGCGUCAUUUCACCACUCAAGCCUGGCUUGGUGUUGGGCGACGUCCCCUUUGGGGACGCGCCUCGAAACGCUCGGCGGCGUGGCACCGGCUUUAAGCGUAGCAGAAUCUUUCGCUUUGGAAGUCGGGGCCCCGUCUGCCGGAAGACCUACUCGCAAGGUUGACCUCGGAUCAGGCAGGGAUACCCGCUGAACUUAAGCAUAUCAAUAAGCGGAGGA
rnacentral:misc_RNA from 1 species